GCCCCUUAGCUCAGUUGGUUAGAGCAGUCGACUCUUAAUCAUUAGGUCGGGGGUUAGAGCCCCCCACCCCCA
rnacentral:tRNA from 1 species